CCUACGGGUGGCUGCAGUGGGGAAUAUUGCGCAAUGGGCGCAAGCCUGACCCAGCAACGCCGCGUGAAGGCAGAAGGCUUUCGGGUUGUACACUUCUUUUGUCAGGGACGAAGGAAGUGACGGUAGCUUACGAAUAAGCCACGGCUAACUACGUGCCAGCGGCCGCGGUAAUACGUGGGUGGCAAGCGUUCUCCGGAUUUACUGGGAGUAAAGGGCGCGUAGGCGGGACUGCAAGUCAGAUGUGAAAGCCACGGGCUCAACCUGUGGCCUGCAUUUGAAACUGUGGUUCUUGAGUGCUGGAGAGGCAGGCGGAAUUCCUAGUGGAGCGGUGAAAUGCGUAGAUAUUAGGAGGAACACCAGUGGCGAAGGCGGUCUGCUGGACAGCAACUGACGCUGAGGCGCGAAAGCGUGGGGAGCAAACAGGAUUAGAUACCCCGGUAGUC
rnacentral:rRNA from 1 species